rnacentral:rRNA from 1 species
UGCAGUCGACGAUGAACCACUUCGGUGGGGAUUAGUGGCGAACGGGUGAGUAACACGUGGGCAAUCUGCCCUGCACUCUGGGACAAGCCCUGGAAACGGGGUCUAAUACCGGAUACGAGCCUCCUCCGCAUGGUGGGGGUUGGAAAGCUCCGGCGGUGCAGGAUGAGCCCGCGGCCUAUCAGCUUGUUGGUGAGGUAACGGCUCACCAAGGCGACGACGGGUAGCCGGCCUGAGAGGGCGACCGGCCACACUGGGACUGAGACACGGCCCAGACUCCUACGGGAGGCAGCAGUGGGGAAUAUUGCACAAUGGGCGAAAGCCUGAUGCAGCGACGCCGCGUGAGGGAUGAAGGCCUUCGGGUUGUAAACCUCUUUCAGCAGGGAAGAAGCGAAAGUGACGGUACCUGCAGAAGAAGCGCCGGCUAACUACGUGCCAGCAGCCGCGGUAAUACGUAGGGCGCAAGCGUUGUCCGGAAUUAUUGGGCGUAAAGAGCUCGUAGGCGGCUUGUCGCGUCGGUUGUGAAAGCCCGGGGCUUAACCCCGGGUCUGCAGUCGAUACGGGCAGGCUAGAGUUCGGUAGGGGAGAUCGGAAUUCCUGGUGUAGCGGUGAAAUGCGCAGAUAUCAGGAGGAACACCGGUGGCGAAGGCGGAUCUCUGGGCCGAUACUGACGCUGAGGAGCGAAAGCGUG